GACGAACGAGGGCGGCGUGCAUAAUACAUGCAAGUAGAACGCUGACUACUUUAGCUUGCUAGAGUAGAAGGAGUUGCGAACGGGUGAGUAACGCGUAGGUAACCUGCAUACUAGCGGGGGAUAACUAUUGGAAACGAUAGCUAAUACCGCAUAACAGUGUUUAACACAUGUUAGAUGCUUGAAAGAUGCAAAUGCAUCACUAGUAGAUGGACCUGCGUUGUAUUAGCUAGUUGGUGGGGUAACGGCCUACCAAGGCGACGAUACAUAGCCGACCUGAGAGGGUGAUCGGCCACACUGGGACUGAGACACGGCCCAGACUCCUACGGGAGGCAGCAGUAGGGAAUCUUCGGCAAUGGGGGCAACCCUGACCGAGCAACGCCGCGUGAGUGAAGAAGGUUUUCGGAUCGUAAAGCUCUGUUGUAAGAGAAGAACGUGUGUGAGAGUGGAAAGUUCACACAGUGACGGUAACUUACCAGAAAGGGACGGCUAACUACGUGCCAGCAGCCGCGGUAAUACGUAGGUCCCGAGCGUUGUCCGGAUUUAUUGGGCGUAAAGCGAGCGCAGGCGGUUUAAUAAGUCUGAAGUUAAAGGCAGUGGCUUAACCAUUGUUCGCUUUGGAAACUGUUAAACUUGAGUGCAGAAGGGGAGAGUGGAAUUCCAUGUGUAGCGGUGAAAUGCGUAGAUAUAUGGAGGAACACCGGUGGCGAAAGCGGCUCUCUGGUCUGUAACUGACGCUGAGGCUCGAAAGCGUGGGGAGCAAACAGG
rnacentral:rRNA from 1 species